AUAACAACAAAAAAUGUCGUACAACACCAAAACGUACAACCGUAAGAGCUUUGGCAAAACCAACCCGCACCAGAAACCAACUUUCAAACAACAACAAUCCAACAGCAAAACCCGACCCAAUCCGUCCAGCUCAGCCAACGUUCGAAUUUCAAAUUCAUACAAAAACAGUACAAUUCCAACUUGCUUAUCAAAUCUUAUCCUCAAUUUGAAAUACUUAAUCAACAUUCUCAAAAAUACCCUUGACAUUCUCUAUCCCACAUCACCAAUUUCUCAAGAAUUGAGAUUUUUGAAUUUCCAUAUUAAUCCUUCUCUCUAUUGUUUAAAGAUUUUUUUCGAACGAAAAAGGGCUAAACUUCUCUACUUGGUUAGGAUUUGGACUUCUGUCCCCAACCUGGAGUUAUGCAAAUUUUGGUUCAAGUUUUAUUUUUCCUUGUCUUUUUUCAAAUCAAAAGCAAGUUGGUGAAGUCGUCGUGAACUUGUUGUCCUAUUUCGCUGCCCAAAAAAAGUGUAACACUUAAAAGGAAAGGCUGAAUUGCUGACAUUGGUCGGAAGAUAAGGUAUGUAAGGAUAAUCUUUUUCAUCUUCUUUGGCAUGAAAUCUCAUAUUAGUGUUAGUACCAACAAAGUAAGCUUCCCAAGUGUUCUCACUAGUAAAGGAUAUAUGGAAAUGAUGUACGAUUUUCAGUGUCAAUAAUGACCUUGUUCCUACUCCCUAUGAUCUCACAAAUGUGUCAAAGUAUUUCAAAUAUGUAUUUAUUACUAUAUUUAUGUAUUUACACUUUCCAGUUAAACCCUUGUUCCUUUUCUAUAUGUCAAUAAGACCCUAGAUUACACAUGGUAAGUGUGCUCAUGUGUUAUGUAUGCAAUAUGCCCAUUUACUACCAACUUUCUUCAAUUGUCUAUUUGAUAAUAUACUUUAUUUUCUCACACAUUUACAUGUUCCCUUCAUUGGGAAUCACUCCCAUUGUCGUAGUCUAUAAUGUUACCUCGCAGUAUCCCUACUCGUUCCAUUCUAUAGUUUGCAUCUCCUUACAUGGAAUAUGUAUUUAUCCCUAAAUCGAAUCUAUCGACAUGCUCCAGUAGUUCUUAUGUUCAUGUACCUUUCAUUUGACACUGUUUACUAAGUAUUUAGUUGCAUCACUGUCUAGAAAGCCGAUCUCUUAUAUUGAGUUAUAUGCCUUAACUCGAAAUGCACCUAUGUUCCAUUUAAGAUGUCAAAGUACUGAUUGUGUCAUUUAUGCUCCAAAGUAUUACAUUGCUAUUACAAUUACAAAUACUUGCUACUUCAUUGUUAUUUCCUCAAGUGAAUAUUCACAUAUUUCUUUUUACUGGUCUAUAGUCCCAAAGCUUAAUAAUAUUGUGGCCGCCAAAAUAACAAUUUCAAAGAUUAAAGAAAUAAAGUAACGUGAAUAUGUUUAUAUGUGGGUGGUAGAUCAGGGAAAAAAGCCCAGCAUGGGCCGAUCCCAAUACAUAGAUUUAUGGGUGGUAUCCCAAGGGCGGAAGGAACACCUAGCAUGGGUCAAUUCAAUUAUCGGGUGGUAUCCCAGGGGUAAAAGGAAAGCCUAGCAUUGUUCGAUCCCGAUUUGUGUAUUAAUAGGGAACGUAUCCCAGGGAUAUAAGGCCUAGCAUGGUUCAUCCUCUUUUAUCACUAUUCAGUUGGUUAUAUAUAUCACAUGGCUUACAAAGACUAUAAAGCAAAGAAUAGUAAAGUAAAGAAAAACAUGUAAUGUACAGGCUUCCACAAAUGUAAGUAAAGGUGGUCGUUCAUCCUUAGCUAUACAUUUAUAUACUGGUCCCUGAUUUCAUUAAUCUCUUAUUUCACUUAUGGUUAUGUCAUGCCUUACAUAGUCAGCACAUUACUUCGUACUGACGACCCUCACGGGAGACUAGCGUUCUAUGUUGCAAGAACAGGUUCUUAGUUAGUAGAUCUCCCUAAUAGAAGUACAGGAAACUCAGUAGCUGUUGGUGAGCUUCAAGUUGAUUUAGGGCCUUGACGAGUCUUCAGCAUAUAUUUUUUAAUGGUUUUACAGUCAUGAAUUCCAUUAGAGGCUUUGUAGACAUUAUAAAGCAGUCAUAUGUAUUCAUAGAUUUACAUGUCAUAUGUAUCGGAUUGUCUAAUUGGUUGCUAUUGUAAAUACAGCUUCUUAUCAGCAAUUUCAUUUGUAUAGUGAUUCAUUUUCUCA